rnacentral:pre_miRNA from 1 species
AAAAGGACAAACCCUGGGUUUCCGUGUUCAAUUUUGAUUAUCCGUCUUAUAUGAAAUUUUUUAUAAUUCGUAUUUUUAUUGUUGUUAGAUGAUAAAACAUGAUUAAUAUUUUAUGCGUGACUUGUCUUUUUAAUUUUUUUCAUAAUUUUUUCAAAUAAGACGGACGGUCAAAUGUUAUACAUGAAAACUAAAG